UUGACAAAGCACCAGCUAAAACGCAGAAUACCAAUGACUCGUAGAGCCAUUUCCGGGCCUCCGACUGAGCAGGAGGGAGAAGGAUCUUCAGGAGCGAGUGUCUCAGGGCUGGAGAGAGAUCGGCACUGGAGUGCUGGGGAACCCAAACCUCAGCGUAAAUGGCCAGUGUUCCUUCUCUAGAAUGCACUGCUCCCUUGUUCAGUGAGAAGUGAGUCUGCCGGUGGGUACAACACCACAUGACAUUUCCAGCUCCAUAGACGACAGCCCUCACCUAGCUAUCAAGGUACAAAAGUAAACAUGGAGCUUGGGGACACCAUAUGUCCCUGACUCAUAGAGCUUGCAGGAAUCACCAUCAUUCUACGUGGCAUCUGCUUUCCUGGGCCAAGGUGGGAGACAGUGAUCGACUUCCUUCACUCUUGCCACGGGCCCACAUGGGGCUGGCCACUGUCUACAUUCAAGGGUUGUGAACUGAAUUGAGGGGUUGUAUUCUUCAACCAUUUUCUCCCUUGAACUGUCUUGAAUUUUCCCCUAAGUUGAAAAUGAAGCAGACCCUCGCUGAGUUUAAAGGAGAUCUGACUGACUUUGGGAAGUGGCAUCCAAUAAGACGCCUGUUUCUUCCGUCUGCUCCAGGGUGCGCCAACAGGAGAACGGAAAGCUAAAGGGCACCAGCUGAUGGGUGGGGCUGGACAGAAACGGCCCAGAGGAAAAUAGAGGAGUGCUUACUUCCAGUGCAUACUCCAUUUCCAAACCGCGAUCACACUGGCCCCUGCCAUGAAGAACAUAGGAUCUUCUCGGCUUUCUCUAUCUUUCGGGUUUUGUUUCCAUAACCAAGUCUCUGAGCUUUUCUUCUAAAGCAAAAAUUCCAAUUCCAGUUCAAGAAUGUUUCUAGGCUGGGCGCAGUAGCUCACACCUGUAAUCCCAACACUUUGGGAGGCCGAGGUGGGUGGAUGGCUU